rfam:Ailuropoda melanoleuca scaffold1617_2, whole genome shotgun sequence.
GGAUGUGAGAGUGAUCUGGCUGGGACAUGCAUCACCCCACUGAUCACUAGGGUUGAUUUGGUUGAUCUGGUUGGCUAGGCGGGUGGCCCCUUCCUCCUUCACUACUCCAUAUAUGUCUCUCCUGAGGCUGUGAGCCUUCCCUGAUGGAGGAGGCCUGUUCUUUUGUUACGGGUAUAGGAAUAGCUGUGCUCCCCUGCUAGAACCUCCAGACAAGCUCUCAAGGUCCAUUUUUAGGAGACUAUACAGUAGUCAAGCUUCCAAGACUCCAGGUACAUCCAGAUGAGGCAGUUCAUAUGGCAGUCUGCCUUUCUUG